UGCCGUGAUGGUGUAAUUUGCGUCCUACACUGUGAUCAGUGACAUUAUGCCUGAUGUCAUAUGCUGGCACAAGUGGCUGACGAACCUAAAGUCUGAGCG
ensembl:snoRNA SNORD16 Small nucleolar RNA SNORD16